CGCCGCCUCCGCCCACCACGCAGCAGAGUCACAAUGGUCUGUGCAGGCCUCCAUCACCAAAACUUAUCGUGCCAACAAAGCUAAAGCCUGACUUUGUGUCACCACCAGCGCCGCCCAAACCAACGACCACCGUGACAAGCAA
rnacentral:lncRNA from 1 species